rnacentral:rRNA from 1 species
GAUCCUGGCUCAGGACGAACGCUGGCGGCGUGCUUAACACAUGCAAGUCGAACGAAGAGCGAUGGAAGCUUGCUUCUAUCAAUCUUAGUGGCGAACGGGUGAGUAACGCGUAAUCAACCUGCCCUUCAGAGGGGGACGAACAGUUGGAACGACUGCUAAUACCGCAUACGAUCUGACCUCGGCAUCGAGGAUAGAUGAAAGGUGGCCUCUAUUUAUAAGCUAUCACUGAAGGG